rnacentral:precursor_RNA from 10 species
AAUGUAUGGAAGAGGAAGGGGUGUAUUUGGAGUGGAGAGAGUUUUAUCUCAUCGUAAAUUGCCGGGUGAGAUUCAACUCCUCCAACUGCACACUACGCCAACUUGCAGCACAUGGACUU